AUUUAUUUUGCUAUAUCUUUUGAAUCAAUAGAAAUCCUAGGUUUAUAUCUAUAUCGGUGAAAACUAACUUUAAUCUAAGAUUCCUUUUCCUUCUGUAGAAUUAAUAAAAAAACAAACUAAAGUACUGAUACACAGAAAAGGAAAUUUGGGACCAAUAGCAACAACAAGAGAAUUGUGUUAUUCACGCCACCCUUCCCAAGAGAUUACAUCAGUAUAUAUUGGCUAUACACUGAUGGAAUACAGUUUACUAACUACACAUGCUAACUAACAUGAAUCCUCUCCAAUCUUUGCUUGACACGUGUCUUCCUCAACGUAACCCACUCUAACAACUCUAACAGCCAUAACAGCCAUACAGCACAGCUCCAAUUCUCCCGCCUUUCCUCUUAAGCUCAGCGCACCAUUUUGCCUUAUUCUUAUAACAAGUACUUAGUGUCACUGUAAUUAUGAUGAGAAACAAUAUUCUUUUAGUAAACUUCUUUGAAUAGGGAUUUGUUUAUUCAUUAUUGUAAAUCACUGCUGUUUAGAUUUGUGUUGCUUAUAAAUCGUAGCAUGUAAGGUGUU
rnacentral:misc_RNA from 1 species